rnacentral:tRNA from 1 species
UUUCUUGCCUCUUUUUUUUUUCAUGUAGUUUUUUUGGAUCCUCCCUUUCUUCCGAACAAAGGGAAGGGUCUUCUUCGGUGGAUCCCUCUUGUUCCU